CGCAAGAACAGAAAACCAAACACCGCAUGUUCUCACUCAUAGCAACAGAGAAGAAAUUAACAGAAUAAAAGGAAGAGUGGAGUAAAAGCCUUUGAAAACCUGGAUUAAAGAAGUGAUUAUCUAGGUAAAUAUAAGUCACCAAACUAAACACUUGAGAAUUAAAAAUUCUCAGUCGAUAAAUUUCCUGGGAAGAAUUUGUGGGAUUUAUCAGAGAUCUACCCUUUCCUAUCCACCAACAUACCCUGCCCCCUUCAGGGUUUUAGCACUUCCCAAACUGAAAUCUGUUUCUCUGUCACCACCUCUGCUGGAAACAGCUUCCUCCAGAGAGAAGAAAGGGUUUCGAGUAGUGAGAGAGGAGCAAGCUACAAGUUCAACUCAUUACCUUUAACCUGCACACUGCUGCAGGUGAGUCAGGUAAUGGUCUCACUGACCAAAGACAGGUGUUGGAGUGUCCCCCAACCAGGAAGCUGUUAGCCCAUGACCUAUUGAUAUCUCUUGAAUGAGUAAAUUUCUUCAGCCAUCUAUGUCAAGGCCCAAGUGGUUUGCAUUCUGACAACCACAAGCCUAGGUUACUCACCAUCAAUUGGCUAAAUAAGAACUAAUAUUUUGACUAAUACCUUCUAGCAGGGUGAAUAUCCAAGUCUCUGCAGGGCUGAUAGGGAGUUUCCCAUCAAACAAUGCUUUACUGGUACUGAGAAUGUUAGAUUUGCAUGAGACCUUUGGAGAACAUAUAGUAUAAUACUGUCUUCCCACAGCCCUAGUUUUCUCAUUUACAAGAGGGGAAACUAAGACUUCAAGGAGUAAAGUGAAAUGCCUGAGGUGAAAGGGUAUGAAAGUGGAAGCCUCAGGACUCAAACUGAGAGUCCUCAUCUCUAUUCUAUUGUUUUUCCAAGCCACAGCUUCUGAAGCUAAUAGUUUAGGUCUACUGGUCAGUUCUUACAGUAUAGUGAGAAGAGGAGGGGCGAUUAGGACCCCUGCCUUGAAAGCAGUGAGAAAGUGGAGCUAAGAAUACAAGACGAGAUGUAUGGGCUGGCUGCAGCCUUUGCUGUAAAAAGACCUUUGUGCCGCUGCCAUCUCUCGUCUGACCCCAGGUUCCUUUAACUGAAUAAGUGGUGGAAAAACUCACAUCAUGGCCUGACUUGUCUUGAAGACAAGUUUCAUUUGUUCUAUAAAUAGUUUUAAUGAUUUUAAAAAUGAAUGCCUGUGCAGUUGACCACAGUCCUCACCACUCCUAAUGUCUUAUACCAGGUCAACUCAAAGAGCAAAGAGUGCAAAUGUGUUAGCAUGGAUCUGCUAUCUGUGUGCUUGUGCUGUCAUGUAUGUACAUACAAAUUCUCACAUGUGUGAAUAAAACCUGCCAUCUAACACCAUAUUAGUCUCUGUAAUCCACAUUCAGGGGCAUUGGAACAAAAUGGGCUCCCACAAGCUUGCAUAUAGUUUUUGGAGAGAAUAUGUCUCCUGACAUACAUAAUCAUACAAUUACCUGUGUGCAAAGUUGUGGGAAGGAAACAAGUCUGUGAGCAUCUGUAAGUGUGGAAGUUAUCUGCUGGCUUGGUUUUUAUGAGACCAUUGGCAUGACACCACUGAGGUUGUUCAUACAAGUAAGUGUUCAGGGUAGGACUCUGCAAGGCAUGGCUGUUCCAGCCUCUGGAGGCCAGGCCCUUGGGCAGAGUGUCUCAACCAGUGUGAUCUUUCCUCACCAUACCACCCACUUUAGACCCUGGAUGCAAGAAGCCUUGCCCUGCCUCUGGGUUUCAGGAGAGCACACCUGUCAGCACCAGGGCCAUGGCAGUUCCUUUUACUUCUCUGCUUGUUGUGUUUUUGAAACAGAAAGAUUGCUAGUGUAGUUGGAGGCUUUUUCAGGACAGAUACCAUAACAGGAAGUGAGAUUAAAGAGUUAAAUAUUAUUGUGUUUGGUAGGUGAUAGGAUGUGUGUAACAAGAAACCAUGGGAGAGUUCUGAGCAGAGAAGUGGCAUAAUCUUGCAGAAAAGUCUCAGUCUGGUACAUCAAAGAGAGACUAUAAGGAGGAAAAGGCAAUAACAGAGGGUCCAGUUAGAAGCUAUGGUGAUAACAGAGGUAAAAGAUGGCGAUGCAUUGUUACUAGAGUGAUACAUAUGAAGGGGAAUGAGAAGUGAAGGAAUUCCAAGUCUCUUUUGAAGGUAGAAAUGACAGUAUACAUGAAUGUUGGAUGAGAGUGAGUGGAAUCCAAAAAUGUCUCCAAAGGUUUGGACUGAACAAAGGGAAGGAUGGAGUUAAUAUUUCCUAGGAUGGGGAAAUUUAUGGGAGGAGUGGAUUUAAUGGAAACGGAAUCAGGGACUUAGUUAUAUGUAUCAUGAAUUUGAAUUUAAAAUGACUUUCAGAGAUCCAAGUGGUGAUGUUGAAUAGACAAUGAAACAUGAGCCUGGAGUCCGGAGAGAGGACUGAGCUUGAAACAUUAAUGUGUGAUUCUGUUAUGUGUGGGUAUGAGAAAAGACAUGGAUAGAACUGUGUAUGAUUCUUAGCAAGUGAGCAUAGGUGACGAGAACAUGUCUGAGAGGCCAACCCUAGAGCACUGCAAUGCGAAGAAGUCAAAGCAGUGAGGAGUAACUACCCAUAAUUCUGAAAAGUAGCAGACACUGAACGAGAAGCACAACCAACAGGCAGAAAUGUCCUGUAAACUAAGUGAGGAAAGUAUUACAAGGAGAAGGAAGUGAUCAACUGUCAAAUUCUACUUUUCAGUCAAGUAAGACCAGUAUUGAGAAAUGAUCACUAGGUUUAGCGAUAUGCAGGUUAUUUGGGGACCUUGAGAAGAGCUAUUCCCAUGGAGUGGUGGAGACAAAAGCUUGAGUGGGGUGGGUUCAAGAAAAAACACAGGAGUAGAGAAAGUGAAGAAAUCAAGAACAGGCAAUGAUUUUUGAGGAACUUCUGUGUACAGGGCAAAUAGAUGAUGCAGUAGAUGGAGUGGGUUGUACAGUUAAGGUGGGGUGUUUGUUUCUUUCUUGUUGUUGUUGUUGUUGUUGUUUGGUUUUUUAUUACUUGCAUGGGAGACUUUGUGGAAUGUUUAUGUACUGAUGGGAAUCACCUAGUAGAGAAUGGUAAAUUGGUGAUGUAGGAAAGAGCACAGACAGCAUUGCUGGGAUCAUGCAUUGAAUAGUCAAGAAGGGGUAUAAUCUAGUGACCAACUCUAGGAAUGGGUUUUGAUAGGAGUGUAGAGAGUUUAUCCAUUGUGACAAGAGGCAAAGCAGAGUAUCUAGUUACAGAUGCAGGGAGGUGAGAAGUUUUGUAAGGCUUUUCUUUACUUUCAUGUUCUCAAUGUCAUCAGUUGAGACUGCAGGUAUUCCAGUAGUAGGUGGAGAUUUGCAGAGGAUAAGAUCUGAACUGCAAUGUCUAACAUGGAGUGAGUAGACAGGGGAUGUGCAUGAGGUUGCACUACCAUAUUCUUGACACUAUUCUAGGCACAAGAGAUGCAGCCAUGGGAAUGCACAUUUGGAACAUAUGUUCACUCGUGUGUUAGUUUGGUAACAAUGUGGGUCGGGAAGAGGUAUCUGGUAUCUGGUCCCCUGCCCAGCUUCAAGGCAAAGGACACAUAUCCUGGGCAAAACACAGACCUUGGCCUCCGCAUAAAACAAAAUUCAUUCUGACUACCCCUCACCUGGAGGCACAGGAAUGGAGGAUGGGGAGGGGACUGUGUUGGAACACUGCAGGUCCUAGUGGCCUAUUUUUUUGCAGCUGAGAGUUAAGGUGUUUUCCUCCUAAGAAUCAGCCACUCUCCAAUAGAUACUCCAGUAACCUUUGUUGUCAAAUAUCUGGCUCACCCUCCUACUCUCUCUGGCUUCUGGUUGCUAUGGCAAUGUGGCCAGGAGCACUGCUCUCCCAGUGUAAAUGAGUGGGAGCCUGUGAAUGUAGACAGGGGUGCGUUGUGGGGACAGGAGAAAAUUCUUGAAGGCAAGAAUAGCCUAAUAUACUUAGUUCCUUUAGUGAUUAACAUCUCCCACAGCCCCUCCAUCAAGCAUUUACAGCACCAUUCCCAGAAGGCAUACGAGGUAGAUUGAAAACAGGGAGCCUUAAAGAAAAUAGCAGAGCCUUUUAUUAGUGUCAUUUCCCAGAAAAAAAAAAAAUCCAGUUUGUUAGGAAGAUUUCACUUCCUAAUGUGCCAAAGAUGGUAUCACUGUGCUUUCACUAGUAGUGCUCUAUCUUACAGGACUGCUUAGCACCAAGCACUAUGAGAACCUUAGGUGUAAAUUAGGUAACUUAAUAGGAACUGUGGAUACUCAAUGAAAAGGAAACACUCACAGGUGUGGGCUUGUGGCUACGGCAGAGUUAACCUAAGGGCACAAGCCCCUCCAAUGUCUAACUCAGACAUUCAUCUUUAAUAGGGGACAACCCUCCUUAUUCUCACUCUCUUGCUUUCCUUCCAUGAAGCACACGGAGACAAAGAUAAAGUUAGGGUUGGGGUUUUGUCUGAAGUUCUGAGUUGCUCAUAUACCCCUUCUCUCUAGCUGAGAGCCUCUUUGUCUCAAUUCCAUCAGUCUUGCUCAGCCAUCCAGGUUUCCAGACCCAUAGUCAACUUUGAGUGUCGGUGUCCAGAUGCACAAUGGCCUAAUUUCCCUGGUGGCAGGUUGCUACAGCAAUCCUACCAAGAGCUUUUCUUCCUCAAUGAAAUUAAAAGAGCAUAAAAGAAGGCGGGUGGCUGCCCAUGUGGAGGAGGGGGAGAAUUGUAAUUUGAAUAUCCUAAUUACAGUAAUUAAUAGACUUUUGAGAUUAACAGGCCAAACUCACAGGCCAAGGCAGCAGGGGACUUGACUGGGAAAAGAGAGCUUCAAACAAGUAAAAAAAAGCCUUUGUUUCAUUCAAGAAACUUCUGUAAAGCUGAAUGAUUAAAAAAAAUGAUUUAAAAAAAAAGUGUCACCAGAUUAGGAGUAGGAUUCAGGGUGAGUUUAGUAAUUGGCACUAUUUAAAAAUCUAGACACAAAUCCUUUCAUCUGAAGCAUGUUGGCAGGGAGGUGUCCAGAAUUAUUUUCUUAGGAAGAGAAUGGGCCCGGUGCCCCUCCCUCUGGCCUGGUGGCACAUGCCAAAGUGUUGACACCCUGCCCAUGACUCCUAUGACGUCCAGGUCGGGGAUGAUUUGAAACAUUCAGCUUCUCUGCUGCCCACCUUUUUUGCAGCUAACUUCUGCGUUGGAUUCUUUCUUUCAGCCUCUUUCCUCCAGCUAAUAUUCUGGACUCUAUAAUCAACUUAGGUGUCUAAUGACUCAGUCAUGGCUUAAUUGGCCCUAGCUGUUGGUUGCUAUGGUGAUGCAGUCAGGAGCUCUGCUCACUAAGUUAAGAUAAGAGAGAACCUGAGGUGGGUGGGGGACAGUGCAUGGAGAGGGCCAAGAUUGAAGUUGACAAUAAGAUAAUUACACUAAUUGAUAGGCUUUGCUGAUGAAAAAUCCAUAAAUACAGGCUCCAGGGCAAAGGUAUGGAGAGCUUACCUGGGAAAAUAAAGUAUCUAGCAUAAAGGAAAGGACUUUUACUACAUCCACUUUCAAGAAGCAAUCCAGAGGAAAAGAAAAGGCUCUAUCUGCUUAAGAUCAGAGGAUAUGGAACUUAUCAACACACAGGCAUAUUAGGGGAUUAGGUUCCUCAUUUGCAAGAGUCUAGGACUCCUCCAUUGUCGGUCAUAGCUGUUUAGAUGGGGAACUGAGGCUCAGAAGUGGAAAGGGACUAGAACUAAAUCACAUGCUAGGUUAGUAGAAGAGCUGUGACUGGAGUUCAUGGCCCUGGAUCACCAAUGCCAGAGCUCUAUGACACCAACUUCCCUCCAGGUAGAGCCAAGGAUGAUCAAGUGCCUCAUUUUACGGAUGAAGACAUGAAUCUCAGAGAGGGGAAUGAAACUGCCCAGGUCACAUAUUUUUUUUUCUGGGAUGAGAACACAGUUCUCCUCGCUUUUAAUGUAGAUCAGGUAAAUGGCCAGUCAGUCAAGAAUUAGGUCAGAGACAGUGGAAACAGACAAGGGAGCACCUUACUCUACAGGGAUUCUACACAAUUUGUAAACCAGGGUAGGAAAGAUUCUCAGUGAUUCUAAGUGAUGUGAAGAUUCUAAGUAAUGGCUGCCAUUAACAGAAAGAGAGGGAAAGGAACAAAGAGGAAAAAAAGACACAAAAACUCCCCUGUUUAUGAAUGUGAUUUUCUUUGGAAACAGUCCCUUCCUUGAGCAGUAGCUGGAAAUAAGAUUCAGAGGUUUUUCUCCAGCAUAUCUUGCUAGAGAGCCUAGGGGAGUGUAAAGCUAAUUUGCAGGUGUCUGAGAGCACCCCUGGCCCAAACAGUAUAUAGAUGGAAAAACGAGUAUAUCAGAGUGAGGAAAUGGCAUCCCAAUAUCAGACUCUGGUUAGGGUCAAAGCUGUAAGUGGAUCCCAGCCCUCAUGAUGACCUUGCCAGGGUUCUGUCUAGCAGGAGUGUAGGCAGCAGGAAGAGCACUCUCUAUGUGCCAGGCACUUCCGUAGGGAAAGUAUGAUUACACCUGGGUGUCAGGAAACAUGGUGGUAAAGAGGCAUACCCCAUGUACUUUCCUGAAGGGACUUGAUUCCCCUUCCUCUGGCCUGUGGGCAAAGGAUACAUGGCUCCAACCGGGAAGACUUUAAAGUAUAGCAGGAGAAAAUGAUAACUGUGGUCAGGAUUGACAUAGAAGAAGUUCAAAGCAAAAGGUGAUAAGUUACCACUGGGGCUUUGUGAAGAACUUGGCUGAUAUAUGCAAAGAACCAGAAGGUUUACAAGGAUUACUUUAAUAAAAAUAUUAGGAACACAGGAGGUUGGGGAAACUGUGGAAACUGGAUCAAAUUUAGGAGACUUAGAGUCCGCUAGGGAAAUGAUAACCACAGGAAAGAGGAGACAUGAUGCAGGAGGGUCUCUGCAAGGAUUAGCUGAAUAUAGAUAUAUGGAGGGAUGGGGACAGCUGGAAAUAGAUCCUAUGUGGAUAACUGGAAGAGUAUUGGGGCUGUUAACAGAAAAUGAAAAGAGCAAAGGAGAGAGGAGGAAGAAGAGAGGAAGAAGGAGAGAAAAAAGAUGAAGACAAAAAGAUGAUGAUGAAGAAGAAAAAAAGUAAUGAGGGAUAAGGAGGAAGAAGACGGAGGUAGAGGUGAAGAAAGAAAGAAGUGAAGAGAAGGAAAAAAGGCAGAAUCUUGUCCCUCACUGUGAUAUUUGCUUGAAAAAAUACAAGACAAACAGCAUGGCCUACCCCUACAGCAGUUAGAGCCGGUCUACAGCUGUAUAUGUGUAUGCACACAUAUAUGCACACAUUUAUAGAAAAGUAGUUGACACUCUGCCUUUUACUUCUGCCCUUGAGAAAAGCCCUUUCCCUCCAUCCCUUGAUCCCCACUUCUGCUUCGGUUAUAGCCUCUUUCUAGAAAUCUUUCUAGGUUUCUGGCCUGUUCUACUCCUGGUGGGUAGUACUGUUCCUUUUGAACACAAAGCAGAGCCAUUCUGGGAAAGGUAGUCCUGGAGACCCCCAUGAACAGGCAUGCAAAUCAGGAGCAGACAGAUCUGGAAGGAGCAGACAGCUAGAGGUUGGUGCAAGUGUGCACAGGCAGGUAAGCAGGGAAUGUCUACCGGACGACAGGUGGGAGCUGCUUUUCCCUCUUUUACUUCAGCACAGCAGAACAGCCUCUUCAAAACCAGAAACAAAUCAUUGAUUUCAGUCAUUUCUCUUGGGAGGUCAUGAUAUGAGAAUUGCCAAGACCAUGAUGGCAGGAGAUCCUCUUUCUCUCUAACUUGUAAAUAGGGAAGAGCUAGACAUGGUCAGUAUGAGGCAGUGACAAUGUGUUUAAGUGAGAACUUAUGAGGGACAGUCCCACAGUACCUUUAAAAUUCUGACCCAAAGUUCUCCCAUAGGCCUCUGUGUUUCAACAUUAUUGUCAUCUGUGAUAGCCUACCUUUCUCCCAAAGGCCUUCAGUUGUCUGUAAACCGAGUUUAGGAGAACAAUGGCUACCCUUAGAAUCAUCAAUGAGGUUUUGGUACACUGAGUGUUCAUUCAUGAAGGGCAGUUUGCCCUCACAAUCUGGACCUUAAUCUCCUGAUUCUGGUCCCUAGGACGGCAUGGAGGAAACUGUCCUGCAGACCUCACCAGUGGGUAUAUCUGGUCUAUCUGUUGCAAGAGUGAGGCCCAUGGAAGGUUUUCUCUCAUGCAGGGUGUAAAGCUGGGGGACCACACAGGGCCAGGAGAUCAUCUUGAAAGAAAACAAACCCCUCCCUUGUCACUUGGAGGAACUUUUGCAAUCAAUUUGACAUCUGUUCCUUUGCCAUCGCAUUGCAAAUCUGGAUUAAUAGGGCAUCAGUGGGCAUUGUUACAGAGAAGGUGAAUGUGUGAGUGGUGCUCAUGACUCCAGGACUAUUUGUCUAUAGAACACAAGAAGCAAUUUGUUAGCAAAAACCCUUGCAGCAUCCUGUAACAGAGAGCAAUGAUAGUGCAAGAUAGAUAAUCCAGGAAAAGCAGUUUCAUAUGAUUUAGGGACAGAGACAGGCAUAAAGCAAAUUAGCACAGGAGUAGCAUUCAGCACAUUUAAAGAAAAAAUGAAUUAUGUGGCUCUAAGGUAAUCAGCCCUAUAACAUCUGACAAGCUACUUGCCCGUUAGUCAGUUAGCAGCCUUCUUGGUUAUCAGAAUACCAGAUCACAAAAAGAUGAUCUUCCAGUUCCAAAAUGGCAGUAUAAAAGCUACCUGGCUUAACUCACCUACCUCCUUGAGUAAACCAAAAUCAAACAUACAGUGCCGAGAUUGUUACCAGCAAUAUCCCAGAACUCAAAUAUGAAGAUUAGGCAGUUCCAGGGUCAGAGAGAAGUGAAAAAAAAAAUCCAAACAGAUAAGAGAAUUAGAUUUCUACAUCUGAAACACACCAAAUUCAAUCUGUCCUACACCAAGAAUGCAGAAAAUUUUCCCCAAGCUUAUGUGGUGUACACUGGAAUAUCUGAGAUCAAGGCAGACAAACAGCUUCUCCACCAUCUUGAGUUCCUUGGCAGGAAAUCUGAUCCUGCCUUAAACCACGGGAAGCAUCACAAAUGCCCAUAGGGAGAACUAUCCCUGAGGACAGCCAGGCACAAGGUGGGAAGUGGGACUUUAUCACCCACAAUCCUGAGAACUCUGCUCUGUAACUCAGCCAAAAAGGACAUCAUUCAAAGUGGCUAUUUAGCAGCACCAUGCUGUUAGUUGUUCAUUCCACAGGGCCCCUGGGCACAACCCCUCAUUCAGCUUUCCCACACUAUCACAUAUCCCAUUUAGGACCUCCACCUUUGGGGAUAAAUAGUGCUAGGAUCUGUUACUAAACCUUAAGCAAACCAUGGCUUAAAGUGCCAUCUAGUGCUAAACAAAAAGGCAGCAACCCAGUGGGGCAGGGGACGGGGAGGAAGAAACUCAAAAAUUAAAAAAAAAAAAAAAAA